CCUACGGGAGGCAGCAGUGGGGAAUAUUGGACAAUGGGGGGAACCCUGAUCCAGCCAUGCCGCGUGUGUGAAGAAGGCCCUCGGGUUGUAAAGCACUUUCAGUGAGGAAGAACGCCUGGUGGUUAAUACCCAUCAGGAAAGACAUCACUCACAGAAGAAGCACCGGCUAACUCCGUGCCAGCAGCCGCGGUAAUACGGAGGGUGCGAGCGUUAAUCGGAAUUACUGGGCGUAAAGCGCGCGUAGGUGGCUUGAUAAGCCGGUUGUGAAAGCCCCGGGCUCAACCUGGGAAUGGCAUCCGGAACUGUCAAGCUAGAGUGCAGGAGAGGAAGGUAGAAUUCCCGGUGUAGCGGUGAAAUGCGUAGAGAUCGGGAGGAAUACCAGUGGCGAAGGCGGCCUUCUGGACUGACACUGACACUGAGGUGCGAAAGCGUGGGUAGCAAACAGGAUUAGAUACCCGAGUAGUC
rnacentral:rRNA from 1 species